rnacentral:rRNA from 1 species
GGUUAAGCGACUAAGCGUACACGGUGGAUGCCCUGGCAGUCAGAGGCGAUGAAGGACGUGCUAAUCUGCGAAAAGCGUCGGUAAGGUGAUAUGAACCGUUAUAACCGGCGAUGUCCGAAUGGGGAAACCCAGUGUGUUUCGACACACUAUCAUUAACUGAAUCCAUAGGUUAAUGAGGCGAACCGGGGGAACUGAAACAUCUAAGUACCCCGAGGAAAAGAAAUCAACCGAGAUUCCCCCAGUAGCGGCGAGCGAACGGGGAGGAGCCCAGAGCCUGAAUCAGUGUGUGUGUUAGUGGAAGCGUCUGGAAAGGCGUGCGAUACAGGGUGACAGCCCCGUACACAAAAAUGCACAUGCUGUGAGCUCGAAGAGUAGGGCGGGACACGUGGUAUCCUGUCUGAAUAUGGGGGGACCAUCCUCCAAGGCUAAAUACUCCUGACUGACCGAUAGUGAACCAGUACCGUGAGGGAAAGGCGAAAAGAACCCCGGCGAGGGGAGUGAAAAAGAACCUGAAACCGUGUACGUACAAGCAGUGGGAGCCCUGAUUUAUCAGGGUGACUGCGUACCUUUUGUAUAAUGGGUCAGCGACUUAUAUUCUGUAGCAAGGUUAACCGAAUAGGGGAGCCGAAGGGAAACCGAGUCUUAACUGGGCGUUAAGUUGCAGGGUAUAGACCCGAAACCCGGUGAUCUAGCCAUGGGCAGGUUGAAGGUUGGGUAACACUAACUGGAGGACCGAACCGACUAAUGUUGAAAAAUUAGCGGAUGACUUGUGGCUGGGGGUGAAAGGCCAAUCAAACCGGGAGAUAGCUGGUUCUCCCCGAAAGCUAUUUAGGUAGCGCCUCGUGAAUUCAUCUCCGGGGGUAGAGCACUGUUUCGGCAAGGGGGUCAUCCCGACUUACCAACCCGAUGCAAACUGCGAAUACCGGAGAAUGUUAUCACGGGAGACACACGGCGGGUGCUAACGUCCGUCGUGAAGAGGGAAACAACCCAGACCGCCAGCUAAGGUCCCAAAGUCAUGGUUAAGUGGGAAACGAUGUGGGAAGGCCCAGACAGCCAGGAUGUUGGCUUAGAAGCAGCCAUCAUUUAAAGAAAGCGUAAUAGCUCACUGGUCGAGUCGGCCUGCGCGGAAGAUGUAACGGGGCUAAACCAUGCACCGAAGCUGCGGCAGCGACGCUGAUGCGUUGUUGGGUAGGGGAGCGUUCUGUAAGCCUGUGAAGGUGUGCUGUGAGGCAUGCUGGAGGUAUCAGAAGUGCGAAUGCUGACAUAAGUAACGAUAAAGCGGGUGAAAAGCCCGCUCGCCGGAAGACCAAGGGUUCCUGUCCAACGUUAAUCGGGGCAGGGUGAGUCGACCCCUAAGGCGAGGCCGAAAGGCGUAGUCGAUGGGAAACAGGUUAAUAUUCCUGUACUUGGUGUUACUGCGAAGGGGGGACGGAGAAGGCUAUGUUGGCCGGGCGACGGUUGUCCCGGUUUAAGCGUGUAGGCUGGUUUUCCAGGCAAAUCCGGAGAAUCAAGGCUGAGGCGUGAUGACGAGGCACUACGGUGCUGAAGCAACAAAUGCCCUGCUUCCAGGAAAAGCCUCUAAGCAUCAGGUAACAUCAAAUCGUACCCCAAACCGACACAGGUGGUCAGGUAGAGAAUACCAAGGCGCUUGAGAGAACUCGGGUGAAGGAACUAGGCAAAAUGGUGCCGUAACUUCGGGAGAAGGCACGCUGAUAUGUAGGUGAAGCGACUUGCUCGUGGAGCUGAAAUCAGUCGAAGAUACCAGCUGGCUGCAACUGUUUAUUAAAAACACAGCACUGUGCAAACACGAAAGUGGACGUAUACGGUGUGACGCCUGCCCGGUGCCGGAAGGUUAAUUGAUGGGGUCAGCGCAAGCGAAGCUCUUGAUCGAAGCCCCGGUAAACGGCGGCCGUAACUAUAACGGUCCUAAGGUAGCGAAAUUCCUUGUCGGGUAAGUUCCGACCUGCACGAAUGGCGUAAUGAUGGCCAGGCUGUCUCCACCCGAGACUCAGUGAAAUUGAACUCGCUGUGAAGAUGCAGUGUACCCGCGGCAAGACGGAAAGACCCCGUGAACCUUUACUAUAGCUUGACACUGAACACUGGUCCUUGAUGUGUAGGAUAGGUGGGAGGCUUUGAAGUGUGGACGCCAGUCUGCAUGGAGCCGCCCUUGAAAUACCACCCUUUAAUGGCUGGUGUUCUAACGUAGGCCCCUUAUCGGGGUUGCGGACAGUGUCUGGUGGGUAGUUUGACUGGGGCGGUCUCCUCCUAAAGAGUAACGGAGGAGCACGAAGGUUGGCUAAUCCUGGUCGGACAUCAGGAGGUUAGUGCAAUGGCAUAAGCCAGCUUGACUGCGAGCGUGACGGCGCGAGCAGGUGCGAAAGCAGGUCAUAGUGAUCCGGUGGUUCUGAAUGGAAGGGCCAUCGCUCAACGGAUAAAAGGUACUCCGGGGAUAACAGGCUGAUACCGCCCAAGAGUUCAUAUCGACGGCGGUGUUUGGCACCUCGAUGUCGGCUCAUCACAUCCUGGGGCUGAAGUAGGUCCCAAGGGUAUGGCUGUUCGCCAUUUAAAGUGGUACGCGAGCUGGGUUUAGAACGUCGUGAGACAGUUCGGUCCCUAUCUGCCGUGGGCGCUGGAGAACUGAGGGGGGCUGCUCCUAGUACGAGAGGACCGGAGUGGACGCAUCACUGGUGUUCGGGUUGUCAUGCCAAUGGCACUGCCCGGUAGCUAAAUGCGGAAGAGAUAAGUGCUGAAAGCAUCUAAGCACGAAACUUGCCCCGAGAUGAGUUCUCCCUGACCCUUUAAGGGUCCUGAAGGAACGUUGAAGACGACGACGUUGAUAGGCCGGGUGUGUAAGCGCAGCGAUGCGUUGAGCUAACCGGUACUAAUGAACCGUGAGGCUUAACCUU